AUGGACCCAGCAAGGAUGGGGCAUGCCCUUGAACCAGGAAGGAUCACAUUUGAUGAGAAGAUGGAGAUAAGAAGGGCGAUAGAAGAAGGAAACAUUCCCCACACCUACAUUUCUGCUAACUGCUUUGCUGCUUACUUUGUUCCUAACCUAUGUCAAAUGCGUACCCUUCUUCCACGCAAGGAGAAAGUUCACGUCUAUGGAGAUGGCAACGUCAAAGCGAUAUUCGUGGACGAAGAUGACAUUGCAGCAUAUACAAUCAAGUGUGUUGAUGAUCCACGGGCCUUGAACAAGACAAUAUACCUACGGCCACAGGAAAACAUCCUUAGUCAAAAUGAGUUGAUUGCUAAAUGGGAAAAGCUCUCAGGAAAGGUUCUUAAGAAAAUUCCCAUUCCGAGUGUUGAAUUCUUGGCAUCAAUGAAAGGUACAGACCUUGCUAAUCAGGUGGGGAUAGGGCAUUACUAUCACAUUUUUUAUGAGGGUUGCUUGACAAACUUUGACAUCAGAGAUGAUGGGGAAGAAGAGGCUUCUCUACUCUACCCAGAGGUUCAGUACACCAGGAUGGACGAGUACAUGCAACGCUAUUUAUAA
rnacentral:rRNA from 1 species